AUUGAAGUGGCAGAAUAGUGCGUUAGGUUUAAAACUUAAAUAUGGAACUUGUUCCCUUUAAUA
rnacentral:tRNA from 1 species